rnacentral:rRNA from 1 species
CCUACGGGAGGCAGCAGUGAGGAAUAUUGGACAAUGGGCGCAAGCCUGAUCCAGCCAUGCCGCGUGCAGGAAGAAGCAUCUAUGGUGUGUAAACUGCUUUUGUACAGGAAGAAACACUCCCUCGUGAGGGAGCUUGACGGUACUGUAAGAAUAAGGACCGGCUAACUCCGUGCCAGCAGCCGCGGUAAUACGGAGGGUCCGAGCGUUAUCCGGAAUCAUUGGGUUUAAAGGGUCCGUAGGCGGUUUAAUAAGUCAGUGGUGAAAUCUGGUCGCUCAACGAUCAAACGGCCAUUGAUACUGUUAGACUUGAAUUAUAAGGAAGUAACUAGAAUAUGUAGUGUAGCGGUGAAAUGCUUAGAUAUUACAUGGAAUACCAAUUGCGAAGGCAGGUUACUACUUAUGGAUUGACGCUGAUGGACGAAAGCGUGGGGAGCGAACAGGAUUAGAUACCCUGGUAGUCCACGCCGUAAACGAUGGAUACUAGCUGUUCGGAGCAAUCUGAGUGGUUAAGCGAAAGUGAUAAGUAUCCCACCUGGGGAGUACGUUCGCAAGAAUGAAACUCAAAUGAAUUGACCGGNUGAGAGNGCGAGACGACGACGAGGGAGGAGG